rnacentral:sRNA from 1 species
CAUAAAUCUGUAUACAAGACGGAAAGGUAGUUGGUGUAAAUUACUCCAUCAUGUAUUAUUAUACAUAAUCGUGAUGGUGUAGCGAUGACUUUGGAUCCAAAUUAGAGAAGGUUGCCCUUAUCAAUCAUCAUCAGAUUCCCAAGCGAAACCAUCUUCACUCAUUCACUCAAUCGACCACCACGGAUUCAAUCUUCAAUAGUGCUUUAAUUACACCCUAAUCUAUACGUUUCAAACUGUCCAACAGUGUUGUGACACGUAGAAUACGCUUCACCGACGAACCGUGUCACAAGCUUGAAUCUUAUUGCUGCUCCACCACUUCCAUUCUCCUAACCAGAUCGCAUCUAUUUCUUCCCUUCAAUCUCUCUCCUCGCUCUCCACCUUCUGUUUUGCAGAAGCUGCUUCCUUCACUGACAUCAUCGCUAACAGGUAUAAGUUGUAAGUAAAGACCAAAGAAAGGUAAAGUUAAGAGUUCAGAAUGGGGUUCGUGGUGGUGAUAUCGUUGCCGUUAAUAUUGAUCAUCUUGAUAUUGGCUUUGGGCUGUUACCUGUGUGGCCGGGCCAAGGGUCGGCGACAAAACCCACCGCAGUAUGGGCCUCCUGCUCCUCCACCACAGGCCCAACCCAAAUAAUGCCUACCCUUUUCUCAUUACUGUUGCUACCCUGUGGUUUGAGUUUGUUCAUCAUCAAUACUGCAGCCACUUUGGAUUGGAGUUUGAAAAUUAUUGUGUAAU